CCCUUAGAUGUCCUGGGCCGCACGCGCGUUACACUGAUGCACUCAACGAGCAUAUAACCUUGGCCGAGAGGCCUGGGUAAUCUUGUUAACAUGCAUCGUGAUAGGGAUAGAUUAUUGCAAUUAUUAAUCUUGAACGAGGAAUUCCUAGUAAUCGCAGAUCAUCAAUCUGCAAUGAUUACGUCCCUGCCCUUUGUACACACCGCCCGUCGCACCUACCGAUUGAAUGGUCCGGUGAGGACUCGGGAUUGUGGUUUGGCUCCUUCAUUGGGGCCUGACUGUGAGAACUUGUCCAAACCUUNUNAUUUAGNGGAAGGUGAANUCGUANCA
rnacentral:rRNA from 1 species